rnacentral:rRNA from 1 species
UACGUAGGGGGCAAGCGUUGUCCGGAAUCAUUGGGCGUAAAGAGCGUGUAGGCGGCCAGAUAAGUCCGCUGUGAAAUCUCGAGGCUCAACUUCGAGCUGUCGGUGGAAACUGUCUGGCUAGAGUCCGGAAGAGGAGAAUGGAAUUCCUGGUGUAGCGGUGAAAUGCGCAGAUAUGCGGAGGAACACCGAUGGCGAAGGCAAUCCCCUGGACCUGUACUGACGCUCAUGCACGAAAUCGUGGGGAGCAAAAGGG